UAGUGGCGGGGACUCAUGGGAGACUGCCGGGGGCAACUCGGAGGAAGGUGGGGAUGACGUCAAAUCAUCAUGCCCCUUAUGUCUUGGGCUUCACGCAUGCUACAAUGGCCGGUACAAUGGGUUGCGAUACUGUGAGGUGGAGCUAAUCCCAAAAAGCCGGUCUCAGUUCGGAUUGGGGUCUGCAACUCGACCCCAUGAAGUCGGAGUCGCUAGUAAUCGCAGAUCAGCAACGCUGCGGUGAAUACGUUCCCGGGCCUUGUACACACCGCCCGUCACACCAUGGGAGUUUGUUGCACCAGAAGUAGGUAGUCUAACUGUAAGGAGGACGCUUACCACGGUGUGGCAGAUGACUGGGGUGAAGUCGGAACAAGGUAGC
rnacentral:rRNA from 1 species